rnacentral:rRNA from 1 species
CAUGUCCUUUUGAUAAUAAUUUAAGGUCUAAUCUGCUCGAUGAUUAUUUAAAUUGCCGCAGUAUUUUGACUGUGCAAAGGUAGCAUAAUAAUUAGUUUCUUGAUUAGGAACUGGAAUGAAUGAUUGGACAAGAAAAUAACUGUCUCUUUUCUAAUUUUUUUGAAAUUUAUUUUUAAGUGAAAAAGCUUAAAUAUUUAUAAAAGACGAGAAGACCCUAUAGAGUUUAAUAAAUUUAUUUAAUAAAUGUUUAGAAUAAUAUUUUUCUUAAGUUUAUUUGGUUGGGGUGAUUUAAAGAUAAAACUAAUUCUUUAAUAAAAUAAUUGAUGAUUAUUAAAUUUUAAAUCUAUAGUUUAUAAAGUUAAAAUUAAUUACCUUAGGGAUAACAGCGUAAUUUUUCUUUAAAGCUCUCAUUAAAAGGAAAGUUUGCGACCUCGAUGUUGGAUUAAAAUUAAUUUUUGGUGCAAUAACUUAAAAAUUAGGUCUGUUCGACCUUUAAAAUUUUACAUGAUCUGAGUUUAAACCGGUGUAAACCAGGUUGGAUUCUAUCUUUAGAAAUUUAAUAUAUUUUAGUACGAAAGGACCAAAUAUAUAUUAAAUUAAUUG